AUGCCAGAGUAGUGCGCAUGUGCCAUCAGCGGCAGGCGCAGGCGUGAAGCCGCCAUUUUGGACACGCCCCUUGCGCGCAAGCGCAUUCCGAAACAACGGUGGCCGAGCAGGUUCGUUCCAAGCCGGCGCCUAGAUGCUGUGUUCGCGCCGCCGGCCUUCCCCCGCAGUCUGUCCCGGCCGCUGCACGGUACCUCAGCCCCAGUGAGCCGCCCGGUAUCCCUCCGCCGUUACCGGGGCGACAGCUCCGGCUUCUGCUCUCAGCAGCAGCGCUCAGGUGGUGGCCAUGUCGGACUCCGGGCACAGCCAGCCCGGCCUGUACGGCCCCGACCGCCGGCGCCGCUGGAACCGUGACAAGGAGCUGGGCCCCCCGGGCGGCCCCCAGAGCCUGUCGGGGCCGGGCCGGGAGCGUGACUAUGGCCCCUGGGACCGCGAGCGCCGGGAGCCCACGGAGGAGCCGGUCGGGUCCAUGAUGCAGAAGACACCCAUCAUCCUGGCCAAGCCGCCCGCUGAGAGGUCCAAGCUGGCCCCUGCCCCAGCUCCAGCCCCACCUGCCACUGCCCCACCUCCCAUGGAGAAGCCCAUCGUGCUGAUGAAGUCACGGGAGGAAGGCAAAGGCCCAGUGGGGGUGUCGGAGGGGGCUGCCCAGCUCCCCACAGCUGCUGCCAAGGGGGAGAAGGAGGGACAGCGCCCCACGCAACCCGUCUACCAGAUCCAGAACCGGGGCAUGGGAUCCGCUGCAUCCAGCAGCACCAUGGACCCCGUGGUGGGCCAGGCAAAGCUGCUGGCCCCGGAGAAGAUGAAGCACAGCAUCAAGCUGGUGGACGAUCAGAUGAACUGGUGUGACAGCGCCAUCGAGUACCUGCUGGACCAGACCGACGUGCUGGUGGUCGGGGUGCUGGGAUUACAGGGCACCGGCAAAUCCAUGCUGAUGUCUCUGCUGUCGGCUAACCAGCCUGAAGAAGAUCAAAGGGCCUACGUGUUCCGCACCCAGAGCCAGGAGAUCAAGGAGCGCGGGGGGAACCAGACCAGCGGCAUCGACUUCUUCAUCACCCAGGAGCGCAUCAUCUUCCUCGACACCCAGCCGAUUCUCAGCCCUUCCAUCCUGGACCAUCUCAUCAACAACGACCGCAAGCUGCCCCCCGAGUACAACCUGCCCCACACCUACGUGGAGAUGCAGUCCCUGCAGAUCGCAGCCUUCCUCUUCACCGUCUGCCACGUGGUCAUCGUGGUGCAGGACUGGUUCACCGACCUCAGUCUGUACAGGUUCCUGCAGACGGCCGAGAUGGUGAAACCCUCCACGCCCUCCCCCAGCCACGAAUCCACCGGCUCCUCGGGUGCCGACGAGGGCACGGAGUAUUAUCCCCACGUCGUUUUCCUGCAGAACAAGGCCAAGCGGGAGAAUUUCUGUCCCCGGAACCUGAAGCAGAUGCACGUGGUUAUCGAUAAAAUCAUGAUGCACUCGCACCUGAAAUACAAGGGCACUCUCUCCAUGCUGGAAUGUAACAUCUUCCCUGGCCUCCCCUACGACUACCUGGACAUGGAGGUGAAUCUCUUCCUCCUGCCGUUCGCGGACAGUGACGCCGACGACACUUUCCCCAGAGCAGCUCCUGGGGGCGGCCCCCUCUUCUCCCUGCUGCCCGGGUACAAGGGGCACCCCAGCUUCCAGACGCUCAUGGCCAAGCUGCGCAGCCAGAUCAUGUCUAUGGCGCGGCCCCAGCUCUCCCACACCAUCCUGACCGAGAAGAACUGGUGAGGGGCCGGAUACAGCCCAGGGAGCAGGGGACUAUGGGUAGGCAAGUUGGGUAGGAGAUUGUGGAGCAAAGGAUUAUGGGUUCCACUACGCGGCCCGGAUCUGGGACGGGGUGAAGAAAUCCUCGGCGCUCUCGGAGUACAGCCGCCUGCUGGCCUGAGCGACUGCUGCCCAAGAAGCUGCCGUGCUGGGGGGCCACACCAGGACCCCCGCCCUCUGCCUCCUGGGGCAGAAGGGGCCUGCUGGGCAGCCUGGAGGUGCUGUUUGGUUGCUGACUCCAGGCGCGGUGCGUGAGAGUCCGGGCGGGAUGCCCCUCCUGGGCCACCAUCCCACUCCCAGAGGCACUUGGGGCAGAGCUGUCCUGACCCCCCCAAGUCAUGAGAGCUCCCCCAGCCAGACAGGGGUACUAGAGAGGAGGGAGUCCUUGACUCUCCCAGCCUGCCCAGGGCUGAGAAUGCACCCCCCAUGAUGCCAUGGGGCAGGAUCGGGGCGGGGUGAACCAUAGGGCAGGGCCAUAGUCCUGAACCAGUGCCCCAUGGAGCUGAGCCCUUCAUCUCCUCCUCGCCCCCUUCCCUUCCUCCUUCCUUCCCCCCUUCAUCUCUCCUUUUCCUCCAUCCCUCCUUCCUUCUGUCCUUCCCCCCUUCAUCUCUCCUCCUCUCCCCCUUCCACCCUUCCCUCCAUCCCUCCUUCCUUCUCUCCAUACCCCCCUCCAUCUUCAUCUCUCCCCCCUCCUUCUGUCCUAUCCCCCCUCCUUCAUCUCUCCUUCCCUCCCCCAUAUCUCAUCCACACAGCCUUAGGGAAGAAUCUUUCCUCUCCCCCAUUCACACCCCCUUUGCCCUUCCCACUGUCCCUGCCGCCUGUGAUGCUCUGACCCCAUACUGGGGUCCCCCACAAUCGCCAUAGGGUCUCCCCUCUGUCUGUGAGGACCCUCCAUGCUGUGCCUGCCCCCACCCCGACCCCCCACACCACCCCUGCUAAUAAAGAGAGCUUCAAGCUGG